GCCACUAGAGUUCCUCCGACCCAAUGGCCCAUAUGACCUAUUGACCAUAUCACCAUAUGUAAUGUAGCAUGUAGGAGUCCAAAAAAUACAAGCAAAAGUGUUCCUCUGGUUUGUUAAAAAAAAAUAGAGAAUUUUUUCAAGAGAGAGAGAACAGGGAGAAAUGGGUGUAGCAAGCAGGGUGGGAGACUGGGCGUUCAAGGGUUUUACGGCGACACUGGGAUUGGCAACCAUCUAUCUCACCACCACUUUUUCCCUCAAUGUCUACAAAGGUCUUGCAUGGCAUAAUGCUCAAUCGAAAUUGAAGGAGGAAGAGCAGCAGGAAGAUCAGAAAACCGUGGCCUGAAUUUUGUAGUUUGCGGUCAUAUACUAAAUAAAAGACCCUUUUUUGGUUUAGUUUUUCAUAAAGAAUACUCUGUACACGUUAGACAAGUACCAUAUUUGAACAUGAUUACAUGUUCAAAUAUAGGAUUUUGAAACAGUAGUUCAGAAAUUUACGGUAUGCUUCUGGUAAGCCUUGAUCGUGUGGAUUUAGCGUCGUCAACUUACACAAUCCGAAUUCACUUGUAAUUGUAUUGCCUUAACGGUUUGUUAUUUACAUUCAUUCACAGCAUUCA